GUGGGGAAUAUUGCACAAUGGGCGCAAGCCUGAUGCAGCGACGCCGCGUGAGGGAUGAAGGCCUUCGGGUUGUAAACCUCUUUCAGUAGGGAAGAAGCCGGCCUUUGGGUUGGUGACGGUACCUGCAGAAGAAGCGCCGGCUAACUACGUGCCAGCAGCCGCGGUAAUACGUAGGGCGCAAGCGUUAUCCGGAAUUAUUGGGCGUAAAGAGCUCGUAGGCGGUUUGUCGCGUCUGCCGUGAAAGUCCGGGGCUUAACCCCGGAUCUGCGGUGGGUACGGGCAGACUAGAGUGCAGUAGGGGAGACUGGAAUUCCUGGUGUAGCGGUGAAAUGCGCAGAUAUCAGGAGGAACACCGAUGGCGAAGGCAGGUCUCUGGGCUGUAACUGACGCUGAGGAGCGAAAGCAUGGGGAGCGAACAGGAUUAGAAACCCCAGUAGUCC
rnacentral:rRNA from 1 species